CCAGCAGCUGCGGUAAUUCCAGCUCCAGUAGCGUAUAUUAAAGUUGUUGCAGUUAAAAAGCUCGUAGUUGAAGCUCUGCUAUUACGACUUGGACACUUCGGUGUUUGAGUUGUUGUAGCAUCCAUCUGAGUAACUGCCAUGGCAUUGAGUUGUUGUGGUAGGGAUCAGGUACUUUACCUUGAGCAAAUUAAAGUGUUCCAGGCAGGCUUUGGCCUGAAUAGUCCAGCAUGGAAUAAUAGAAAAGGACUGUAUGUCAUUAUUGGUGUUAUGGCGUAUAGUAAUGAUUAAUAGGGAUAGUUGGGGGCAUUCGUACUUAAUUGUCAGAGGUGAAAUUCUGUGAUUUAUUAAAGACGAACUUAUGCGAAAGCAUUUGCCAAGGAUGUUUUCAU
rnacentral:rRNA from 1 species